CUUGCGGCUGAAAGGAGCGUACGUGGACGGGACGUAUAAUCAACGCCUCAGACAAAAUGAAAAUUUUCGUUUCUGCACUCCUGGUCGGCCUGACUGCAGCGGACAUAACUACCUGCAAGGCAAAAUCACCAAAUGCAAGGAAAGCUUGCAUGCCCAACGAUGUAUCGAGUGUGGGCUUUUAUGGUUAUAACCGAGCGAAAAAUAAAUGCAUGAAGUACCCGCAUUGCAGUUUCAUUACCGGAGAUCCAUUUUAUUCACGGGAAAAAUGCUAUCAGACGUGUAAUGAAACCCACCAGUGCCUGGACAUCUCGUAUUCAGAGUACCAUGAUGCCUAUCCUGUUGGGGUGAAGCCAACGACUUACCAUUAUUAUGACCCAAGCACAGAUGACUGCGUAGAAAUAGACACUUACGGUCUCCUUUCUUCAGACCUUUGGCCAAAUAAUAACGUAUUUAAAACUUACACAAAAUGCAAAAGAGAAUGUGCACCAACAUACCAGAGAAAAAUUAGGCGGCCCUGAAUAAGACAUAGUUUCGCUUUACGUACGAGCAGGCGAUCUUCCUACGGCGAAGCUUUUAUUAAUGGGGAACAUGAUCGCAUUGUUUACCGAUAUGCCGUAGAAAAAAAAAAAUAAAUCACUGUUGGCUGUGGUUCUUUCUGCCUGAACCUGUAAAAGUUAUGGGAAUUCGCUUAAACGAAGACUUCACAAGCGUUCGCGGAAAAUGUUGUGCUUGUUUAGCGGCCACUUGGAAGUAUAGUAGAAUCUCGGUAAACUGGAAUCGCUUGCACAGAAAUGCAACUUCAAAGCGACGACAUUCUUCAAAUUGGUUGCGUUACUUAAUAUUUCUCCCAAAUAAAAUGUGAAACUUUAAUCUUUAAUCCGAACCAAAAUUUUCACAACGCUCUGUAAACGAAACUACAGAAGAAAGCUUUAUAGGAUUUUUUCAGAAUAAGGCAGAAUCUUAAAUACAUAUUUCGCGAUUCGUUUCUAGUAUCGAGAAUGCCAUCCUUAAGAACUGGGGGUAACGGCUCAA